rnacentral:antisense_RNA from 1 species
CUUGAUCGAACCGACCCACAACGGUGUGUCCACCGCGCGGUCGCGGCCGUAGGUGGCGAGGAUCGCCCGCGCCUC